rnacentral:tRNA from 1 species
GCCCCGAUAGCCCAAUGGCAGAGGCAAUGUGCUCAAACCACAUCAAGUGUGGGUUCGAAUCCCACUCGGGGCACCG